rnacentral:antisense_RNA from 1 species
CCAACGACCAAAGCAAAGGACAGCAUAACUGAAUGACACAUUGCUCAGAAAAUAUCCAAAGCUCUGUACGCUCUGGAAAGGAAGGCAAGAAUUGCUAAAGACUCUGGAUAUUGCUCUGUUUCUAUAAGGUCCCACCCAUAUACCAUCUCUUCUUUUGGAUUUCCUUUGGCAGUAACCUGAAGUUAUAUAAGUGGCAUGUUGCCAAGUACAAAGGGAGCCCUUCUAUUGCUUCUGCUUACAAAGAGGUGUCAACGUAAGAAAAAGCCAGAACAAGUCAAAGUUCAGGGAAGUAUCACUGCUGACUAAUAUGUUCAGCAGUCACUGAGUUGAGAUGAGGAGUGCUACUUUGGAACUUCCCUGCAUUCCAAAGUUCACUAAUGCAAUCCACUUUAACAUCUUUCUCUUUGUUAUUCAGGGUUCCCUUGUAUGGAAGUUCUCGGGAGAACAACACUCUCAGAGUCCCAUUGUCUCAAAGAAUUCUUAAUGGACAGAUAUUUUUAAAGAAGUCAGGGUUAUCCACAGCUAUGUACAUAUAAUACCAAAUCAGAUCAUUUAUUCUGUACCUGAGGCAAAAAAGCUUCUGAUUCCUGAAUGGAUUUCUUCACCGGUUCUUCUGGGGGAUGAGAGAAACCAUUUACAAAGCUGAAGGAGAGGUAAGUCCACCCCUACACUGGCUGAGUUUCUUUGUAUAACAACUGUUCUCCCUUCCUAUUUUCUUCAAUUAUCUCUUCUUUCCCC